CCCGCACAAGCGGCGGAGCAUGCGGAUUAAUUCGAUGCAACGCGAAGAACCUUACCAAGGCUUGACAUGCGCCGGAAACUGCCAGAGAUGGUGGCCCCGUAAGGUCGGUGCACAGGUGGUGCAUGGUUGUCGUCAGCUCGUGUCGUGAGAUGUUGGGUUAAGUCCCGCAACGAGCGCAACCCUCGUCCCAUGUUGCCAGCGGGUUAUGCCGGGGACUCAUGGGAGACUGCCGGGGUCAACUCGGAGGAAGGUGGGGAUGACGUCAAAUCAUCAUGCCCCUUAUGUCUUGGGCUUCACGCAUGCUACAAUGGCCGGUACAGAGGGCUGCGAUACCGUAAGGUGGAGCGAAUCCCAAAAAGCCGGUCUCAGUUCGGAUUGGGGUCUGCAACU
rnacentral:rRNA from 1 species